rnacentral:rRNA from 1 species
AGUGAACGCUGGCGGUAGGCCUUACACAUGCAAGUCGAACGGCAGCACAGUAAGUUCUUGCUCUUACCGGCGGCGAGUGGCGGACGGGUUAGGAAUACAUCUGACUCUACUUUUUCGUGGGGGCUAACGUAGGGGAACUUACGCUACUACCGCAUACGACCUACGGGUGAAAGCAGUUGAUCUUCGGACCUUGCGCGAUUGCCUGAGCCGAUGUCGGAUUAGCUAGUUGUCGGGGUAAAGGCCCACCAAGGCGACGAUCCGUAGCUGGUCUGAGAGGAUGAUCAGCCACACUGGAACUGAGACACGGUCCAGACUCCUACGGGAGGCAGCAGUGGGGAAUAUUGGACAAUGGGCGAAAGCCUGAUCCAGCCAUACCGCGUGGGUGAAGAAGGCCUUCGGGUUGUAAAGCACUUUUGUUGGGAAAGAAAAGCAGCAGGUUAAUACCGCGCUGUUAUGACGGUACCGAAAGAAUAAGCACCGGCUAACUACGUG